AAAUCAAUAUCUCACUUAACAAAAUCAAACAAUCAUUUUUAAGAGAAAAAAAUUACCAAAACAAGAUUUUAUUAGGCGGCAUAUCCCAGAAUCCCUCAAGAUCGAAAACCCUGGGUAUUCUUUCUUCAAUUGGACUGUGGGAAAAAUCCUAUUUUUAGGUCUCAAUAAUGCCGAAAAACUCACCUUGCUUCAUAUGAGGUUCCAAAUUCAACUUUUUGCUCUCAAUUUUAAUUCGUGAUUUUGUAGUGAGAUUUUGAUUUACUUUGUUGGAGUAAUUUUUAAUUAGUGUUUCUGGCAAAUUUUCGAUAUAAUUCUGAUUUAUAUUACUGUAUUACAUUGAGCAUUUAACAAAGUUUUUAUAAUGCCUGAAUUGCAUCGGGUUUGUUGGGAGCUUGGCUUGCUUCUGCUAGGCUAAGUGUAGGUUGUAGCUUUGCAUUUGUUUGCUGGUUUCAGGCUGAGUUCAAUUCUGGUUGUAUCUGGAUAGGGUGCUAUGUUCUGUUUUUGAUGUUUGCAGGGGCUGUUUUCUUUUGUUCUUACAGUCUGGUUGAAGGUCUUAUCUGUUGGGGUCUACUCCUUUCUGUAUGUUGCAGCUUCUUUUCUUUGUUGGCUGGCAGUUCCAGUGUUUCUGCUGCUCUGUUAUAUCCUGCUGUGCUGUUGUUGCUGUGGAGAGUACUUGCUAGCUGCAGAUCUUCUUUAUGCAGGUGCUUGUUCGUGUUGAGCCACUUACUGCAGCUUGGGUGUUGUUGUGUUUGUUCGGGUGCGGGCUGUGCACCCUUUCCUGUUGUCUUGUUUCUUUGUUUGAAUUUUGAUUGUUUCUACCUUUUGGUAAAUGUGUUAAUGGAUUGAAAUGUUCGACCUUUUGUAAGUCUGUAAGUUCUGCUCAACCUGCUAAGAAAAUGAGACAAGGAAAAUGAAUGGAUGUUAAAGAAACUCGUAUGUGACUGUCUUAUAAUAGGCUUAAAUUUUGCAGAAUGGUCACUGAAUAUGAACAUAACCUGGUUCUUGUUUUUGUGGUCUCUAACUUUUGUUUUAUGCUUAUUUCAGCAUUAUAUGCUAGUUGUUUAGUGGGGAACUUUGUGGAACAACUAUGGAAUUUUGCUUGGCCAGCUGCUAUUGCAAUGAUCCAUCCAAGCCUUCUUCUUGUUGCAGUCAUGAGCUUUUUUUACUAAGCUUGCAGUUAUUCUUGGAGGGCCAUUAGUUCGAAAACUUAUGGAUCAUUACCCCAGAGUGCAUGCAUUUAAUUUUCUAAGCUUUAUCCAGGCAAUUUCCCAGCUGAUGUCUGUGGCAAUGAUUAUUCAUGCUCAUCAAGUUCGGUCUGCUGCUGUGUCAUCUGUUCUACUUCGCCCGUGGUUUAUUAUUCUUGUUUUUGCGAGUGCAAUUGAGCGAAUGUGGGUUAGCUUUGGGCGUAGCCAUGGAGCGUGACUGGCUUGUACUGCUAGCUGGGACCAAUCGACCUAUUGCACUUGCUUAUGCUAAUGCUGCUAUCAAUCGAAUUGAUCUUCUGUGUGAGGAGCAUCACUAUUCGGUAUUCUUUUGUCUAAAUAUGACCCUGUGACCUGUUUGAAAUACGCGGCUGGUUUAUGGGGUUUACCGCUUGCAGUUGCUCUCACUUGGUUAACCAACAGGGUUUCCACUGGUGUUCUUGACCGUGCUAAGUGUCAACAGACCUGUUCUGAAAGUCCUGCUCGAUUAACCCAGGAAGAUAAUAAGAAUAUAGCUUGUCUGUCAUUUCUUACAGUAUUUUAACAAAGCUCUUAAGCUAGCUCAAGGGGAUGGUCGGUUACCUCAGUUCACUCCUGCAGACGAACUGCCCUGUUACCUCAGUUUACUCCUGCAGACGAACUGCCUUGUUGCGGCAGAAGCUCCAGUUGUUGUUGCUGCAGAAGCUCCGGUUGCUGCCGCUGCAGAGUCACCUGUUGCUGCCGCUAUAGAAGAUCUUUGAUUUUAUUUUUUUUAUUUUUUAUUAUUGACAUCGGAAUGGUAUUUUUUUUUGCUGUACCUUGUAUAGGAUUUUGUUAUUGUAUGAACAAUAGUAUUUUGUUAUUGAAGGAAAUUAUUUUUGGAAAGAUUGUGUGGAUAUCAUUUUUAUUUUAUCCAUUUAGAUUUGGUUUACGGAGCUAGGAUCGUAAUAUCCUAUUUUAGGGAUGUGUGAACUGCUAUUUUUGAAUAAUAUAUUUUUUAAAAAAGGGGUAGAAUAUUGUGUAAGGAAAUUGCUUUCUAUUUUAAUAUUAAACAGGAAG